UGACCUCUCUACAGAUUUAUUAUAAGUAUAGAUUAAUUUUUACUUAUACAUUUAUUAUCCAUAUUUAUAUUUACUGGCGGACAAUUUGCAUGAUACGAGUAUAACUGAAGUGUGUCUAUUAUUUCAUCAGCCAGUUACAUAAAUAUCAGAUAUGUUAUAAGCAAUGAUAAUAUAAAUAUCGUUGGUUAUAUUAGGUACGGCCAUAUCAAGAGGUUUAGCAAAAUAGUUUUAAUUCUUUUUUAUAUUUAAGGGCGUGGACGCAGACAAUUUGUAUGAUACGAGUGUGUGUGUGUUUCUAAUAAAGUGCGUCUAUUACAUAAUCAGCCAGUUACACAAAUAUCAGAUAUGUUAUAAGCAAUGAUAAAAAUAAAUAUCGUUGGUUAUAUUAGAGGCGUGGACGCAGACAAUUUGUAUGAUACGAGUGUGUGUGUGUUUCUAAUAAAGUGUGUUUAAACUAAUAUUUUAUCAGCCAGCUACACAAAUAUCCGUUAUGUUAUAUAAUAUAAGCAAUGAUAAUAAUAUAAAUAUCGUUGGUUAUACUAGGUACUGCCAUAUCAAGAGGUUUAGCAAAAUAGUUUUAAUUCUUUUUUAUAUUUAGGGGCGUGGACGCAGACAAUUUGUAUGUUACGAGUGUGUGUGUGUUUCUAAUAAAGUGUGUUUAAACUAAUAUUUUAUCAGCCAGCUACACAAAUAUCCGUUAUGUUAUAUAUAAGCAAUGAUAAUAUAUCAUGAUAUAUAAUGAUAAUAUCGUUGGUUAUACUAGGUACUGCCAUAUCUGGAGGUUUAGUAAAAUAGAUUUAAUUUUUUUUUAUAUUUACUCGUGCGUGGAUUUUACUUGGGAGUGGACUUUCCUUGUGCGUGGACGUUACUCGGGCGUGGACGCAGUCACUUUUGUUGUUUGUUUGGUUAAACUAUACUACAAGCUGGGAAGUGAUUGAUAGAUUUAUAUUCCUGUGACUUCUUCAUUUGGUGGUGGUUUGUGAUUGUGUAAAAGUUGUCAUUGAUGAAUGAUUAUGAUUGAUAUUUCACAUCCAUGAUUUGAUAUUGUUGGUUCAUUUGGAUGCUAAGAAAUACAUUAAAUAUUUCAUUCGAGAACGAAGAAAAGGGACAGGAACAAUAUCAUAAGGUUUUGUGUUGCAUAGUUACUAUGCAUAUAUUUUGUAUUUUUUUUUUAUUAUAAGGUUCUGCGAAAAGAUGUAUUUGCCCAUCAAUCGUAUAUUUUUAGAUUAAAGUAGUUUUAAUUUUACUUUAUGUUAUAUUUGUAGUUCGAUCGCAUCUCUUAUAAAUUGCAACGGAUUACUUUUUUGCCUGAAAAAUUUAAUCAGGUUAUCUUUUGUUAUACUUAUUUUAGGUCGUAAGUGCUUUUCGCAAUGCAAUCAUUGCAUUUUAUGAUAUAAACAACGAUAAUUUAAAUAUCGAUUGUUGUAAACUUAUUAGUUAUAGCUAAAAAAAAAUAAAAAACAAAAAAAAAAAACUUUUUACUGUUGGCUCAUUUGGAUGCUAUGAAACAGGAAUGUAGAAUAAGUUUUUGUGUUACUCAUUGCUACUACUACAAUAUUUUUGGGUUUUGUAUUAGGUUAGUUUUUGUUAUACUUAUAUUAGACCGUAAGUUCUUUUUGGAUUUUUCUGAUACACCGCUCGUUGCUUUCACAUAUUUUUCAUACCGCUAAUAAACUGUUUCUAGAUUCAA
rnacentral:lncRNA from 1 species